AUGUUUAAACAGGUAGUUUUGGGUGUGGUGAUCAUCGCAGCCAUCGCUAGCUAUUGGGUUUACAAUAUCAUUUACAGCAAACUGACUCAAAUGGUAGUAGAGACGGUGGAUUGUGUAGGAAAUUUGACAAUGACUGUGUUACAAUUACCUUUCCAAAAUGAAUUAGUUCUAUGGCAAAUCCUGGCACAAGUAUACAUACUAUUCAUGGCUGUGUUGCAGACCCUAACCCAAGUGAGAAAAGUUGGCAGAUUCAUGGUUCCCCUAAAGGCAGAGAAGGUUAUGGCAAUUGACAACAAUUUGGAAAAAAUGAUUAAGGCAUUAUUUGAACAGCUCAUUAAGGAAAAGGGUUUAGAUCUAGUUAUGAGCAAGGACAAUGAGCAAUCAGAGAAUGAACCUCAAGAAAAUGAAGAUAGCAGUGAUAAUGAGAACCAGGCUGCAAGUACCCCCAAGAAAAUAUGUCCAUUGAAGGAAGUCACCAAGCUAACAACUAAUGAUAGUGCUAUUCACUCUAAGACCCAUAGACGGUUCACUCCACAAGAACUUGAGUCCGUUAAACGUCGAUUUCCAAAAUUUAUGGACAAUCCCUUUAAAGCCCACAAGGAGCUGAAGAGAGCAAUAAGGAUCUUUGAUCCUGAUUUUGAAGAUUUGGAAUUUCUUUUAUCAGAAUUAUUCAGCUCCCAUGAAAAAAGGAAAUUCGUGGAGAAGACUAGAUCUGAUACCAAGUUAACAAGUUGGCCUACCCCAGAUGAGAGAGAGGACUUAGAUUUCGCCAAUCCAACCUGUAUGUCAUAUCUCAAACGAUGCAGGGAGGUUUGGAUGCUCCAAGCAAUCAAACAAUGUUGUUUCAAACUUGGUGCAUGGUCCAAAUUUGAUAAGAUUAGGCAGGAAAAUGGGGAACAUCCGGCCACAUACAUUGACCGUCUGUCAGAAAUGGCAGAGGCAAUCUUAGGUAUAGAAACAGACAAUGAAGAGACAGCUGGCCAUGUACGUAGACAAUUUCUGAGGGGAUGCACACCAAAUUUAAGGACAUUCUUUAAAAACCAUUUCCCAAAGUAUGAUUCAGUUUCCCUAAUAGAAUUGAGAGAGGCUGCAGGUUAUCUAUAUGAAAAUAGUUCAGAUCAGUGCAAGGAAGUUCAAGAUCUUAAGAAAAAGUUAGAGAGGACUGAAAAGGAUUUGAAGCAGAAAGAAACUGAGGAAAUCAAAAAUCUGAACACAGUAAAGACAAAACCUGUUUUCCAGAAAAAACCUAGUUACCAGGCAAGAUCAGUGCAAAAAGAAACUAGGGAGUGUUUCUUUUGCCACCAUAAAGGGCACUUGAUUAGAGACUGUUUCUUAAAGAAGAAACAAGAUAAUAACAGAGAAAACCAUAAUGCGGGUACUAGGUACAAGAAAUCAACUUGCUGUUCUCACUGCAAGUUGAACUCCUCACUACAGGCUCAUGAUCUGAAAGAAAUGCAAAAAGCAAUUGAAAGUGCAGCUAAACCAAAGUAUUCAGAGAUUAUUAAAUGGGAAUUAAGAAGCCAGGCCCUUGGAGAUAGAAGAAAUUAUGAACAAAGGGCAGCAGAUAAAAAUAGUAGAAAAAAGAAGAGAAAUAGUGUAAUAUUGGUGCAAGAAAGUGAUUCUGUGAAUGAUAGCCAUUGCAAUAAGGCAAGAGAAAGGCAGAGCCAGAUUAAAGAAAAUGAGGCAGAAAUUAAUGAAAUAAUAUCUCAAAUUGAAAAUGAGAUGAGAGAAUUUGAUUAG
ensembl:lncRNA